rnacentral:rRNA from 2 species
GCAUCAUGAUUUACAUUUGAGUGAGUGGCGAACUGGUGAGUAACACGUGGGAAACCUGCCCAGAAGCGGGGGAUAACACCUGGAAACAGAUGCUAAUACCGCAUAACAACUUGGACCGCAUGGUCCGAGUUUGAAAGAUGGCUUCGGCUAUCACUUUUGGAUGGUCCCGCGGCGUAUUAGCUAGAUGGUGGGGUAACGGCUCACCAUGGCAAUGAUACGUAGCCGACCUGAGAGGGUAAUCGGCCACAUUGGGACUGAGACACGGCCCAAACUCCUACGGGAGGCAGCAGUAGGGAAUCUUCCACAAUGGACGAAAGUCUGAUGGAGCAACGCCGCGUGAGUGAAGAAGGGUUUCGGCUCGUAAAACUCUGUUGUUAAAGAAGAACAUAUCUGAGAGUAACUGUUCAGGUAUUGACGGUAUUUAACCAGAAAGCCACGGCUAACUACGUGCCAGCAGCCGCGGUAAUACGUAGGUGGCAAGCGUUGUCCGGAUUUAUUGGGCGUAAAGCGAGCGCAGGCGGUUUUUUAAGUCUGAUGUGAAAGCCUUCGGCUCAACCGAAGAAGUGUCGGAAACUGGGAAACUUGAGUGCAGAAGAGGACAGUGGAACUCCAUGUGUAGCGGUGAAAUGCGUAGAUAUAUGGAAGAACACCAGUGGCGAAGGCGGCUGUCUGGUCUGUAACUGACGCUGAGGCUCGAAAGUAUGGGUAGCAAACAGGAUUAGAUACCCUGGUAGUCCAUACCGUAAACGAUGAAUGCUAAGUGUUGGAGGGUUUCCGCCCUUCAGUGCUGCAGCUAACGCAUUAAGCAUUCCGCCUGGGGAGUACGGCCGCAAGGCUGAAACUCAAAGGAAUUGACGGGGGCCCGCACAAGCGGUGGAGCAUGUGGUUUAAUUCGAAGCUACGCGAAGAACCUUACCAGGUCUUGACAUACUAUGCAAAUCUAAGAGAUUAGACGUUCCCUUCGGGGACAUGGAUACAGGUGGUGCAUGGUUGUCGUCAGCUCGUGUCGUGAGAUGUUGGGUUAAGUCCCGCAACGAGCGCAACCCUUAUUAUCAGUUGCCAGCAUUAAGUUGGGCACUCUGGUGAGACUGCCGGUGACAAACCGGAGGAAGGUGGGGAUGACGUCAAAUCAUCAUGCCCCUUAUGACCUGGGCUACACACGUGCUACAAUGGAUGGUACAACGAGUUGCGAACUCGCGAGAGUAAGCUAAUCUCUUAAAGCCAUUCUCAGUUCGGAUUGUAGGCUGCAACUCGCCUACAUGAAGUCGGAAUCGCUAGUAAUCGCGGAUCAGCAUGCCGCGGUGAAUACGUUCCCGGG